UACGAAGGGGGCUAGCGUUGCUCGGAAUCACUGGGCGUAAAGCGCACGUAGGCGGCUUUCUAAGUCAGGGGUGAAAUCCUGGAGCUCAACUCCAGAACUGCCUUUGAUACUGGGAAGCUUGAGUCCGGAAGAGGUGAGUGGAACUGCGAGUGUAGAGGUGAAAUUCGUAGAUAUUCGCAAGAACACCAGUGGCGAAGGCGGCUCACUGGCCCGAUACUGACGCUGAGGUGCGAAAGCGUGGGGAGCAAACAGG
rnacentral:rRNA from 1 species